GCAUGUCAGAAAACGAGCAAUGAAAUCUAUAACCUCACGCUUCAAACCUGACCACCAGUAUAGUUCACGAAGAUCUCGAUACAUCUUAUUACCACUAGGAUGCAUAACAUAAGGGCUACUAUACGCCUCUCUUAGAACCGAUUGCCUUAUAUUAGAACCAUUCGACACACAAAUUCGACCUCAAAAACACAAAAAUCCAUCCUUUUUCAGUCCAUAAUCAGAAGUAUCGCCACUCUCAAUCUGACAAAAUUACAAACCGAAAGACUUAUCCCCUAACUGCUUAUCCCGAAUCUGAUCAAUCCAAG
rnacentral:lncRNA from 1 species